AGUGAACGCUGGCGGUAGGCCUAACACAUGCAAGUCGAACGGCAGCACAGGAGAGCUUGCUCUCUGGGUGGCGAGUGGCGGACGGGUGAGGAAUACAUCGGAAUCUACUUUUUCGUGGGGGAUAACGUAGGGAAACUUACGCUAAUACCGCAUACGACCUACGGGUGAAAGCAGGGGAUCUUCGGACCUUGCGCGAUUGAAUGAGCCGAUGUCGGAUUAGCUAGUUGGCGGGGUAAAGGCCCACCAAGGAGACGAUCCGUAGCUGGGCUGAGAGGAUGAUCAGCCACACUGGAACUGAGACACGGUCCAGACUCCUACGGGAGGCAGCAGUGGGGAAUAUUGGACAAUGGGCGCAAGCCUGAUCCAGCCAUACCGCGUGGGUGAAGAAGGCCUUCGGGUUGUAAAGCCCUUUUGUUGGGAAAGAAAUCCAGCUGGCUAAUACCCGGUUGGGAUGACGGUACCCAAAGAAUAAGCACCGGCUAACUUCGUGCCAGCCGCCGCCGUAACAC
rnacentral:rRNA from 1 species